rnacentral:rRNA from 1 species
UACGUAGGGUGCAAGCGUUGUCCGGAAUUAUUGGGCGUAAAGAGCCCGUAGGCGGUUUGUCGCGUCUGCUGUGAAAACUCGGGGCUUAACCCCGGGCCUGCAGUGGGUACGGGCAGACUAGAGUGCGGUAGGGGAGACUGGAAUUCCUGGUGUAGCGGUGAAAUGCGCAGAUAUCAGGAGGAACACCGGUGGCGAAGGCGGAUCUCUGGGCCGAUACUGACGCUGAGGAGCGAAAGCGUGGGGAGCGAACAGG